AUUGAACGCUGGCGGCAUGAUUUACACAUGCAAGUCGAACGGUAACAGGCCGCAAGGUGCUGACGAGUGGCGAACGGGUGAGUAAUGCAUCGGAACGUGCCCAGUCGUGGGGGAUAACUACUCGAAAGAGUAGCUAAUACCGCAUACGAUCUAUGGAUGAAAGCGGGGGACCGUAAGGCCUCGCGCGAUUGGAGCGGCCGAUGUCAGAUUAGAUAGUUGGUGGGGUAAAGGCUCACCAAGCCAACGAUCUGUAGCUGGUCUGAGAGGACGACCAGCCACACUGGGACUGAGACACGGCCCAGACUCCUACGGGAGGCAGCAGUGGGGAAUUUUGGACAAUGGGCGCAAGCCUGAUCCAGCAAUGCCGCGUGCAGGAAGAAGGCCUUCGGGUUGUAAACUGCCUUUGUACGGAACGAAACGGCUCUGGUUAAUACCCGGGGCUAAUGACGGUACCGUAAGAAUAAGCACCGGCUAACUACGUG
rnacentral:rRNA from 1 species